GGGUUGUGAGGUUAAGCGACUAAGCGUACACGGUGGAUGCCCUGGCAGUCAGAGGCGAUGAAGGACGUGCUAAUCUGCGAUAAGCGUCGGUAAGGUGAUAUGAACCGUUAUAACCGGCGAUUUCCGAAUGGGGAAACCCAGUGUGAUUCGUCACACUAUCAUUAACUGAAUCCAUAGGUUAAUGAGGCGAACCGGGGGAACUGAAACAUCUAAGUACCCCGAGGAAAAGAAAUCAACCGAGAUUCCCCCAGUAGCGGCGAGCGAACGGGGAGCAGCCCAGAGCCUGAAUCAGUGUGUGUGUUAGUGGAAGCGUCUGGAAAGGCGCGCGAUACAGGGUGACAGCCCCGUACACAAAAAUGCACAUGCUGUGAGCUCGAUGAGUAGGGCGGGACACGUGGUAUCCUGUCUGAAUAUGGGGGGACCAUCCUCCAAGGCUAAAUACUCCUGACUGACCGAUAGUGAACCAGUACCGUGAGGGAAAGGCGAAAAGAACCCCGGCGAGGGGAGUGAAAAAGAACCUGAAACCGUGUACGUACAAGCAGUGGGAGCACGCUUAGGCGUGUGACUGCGUACCUUUUGUAUAAUGGGUCAGCGACUUAUAUUCUGUAGCAAGGUUAACCGAAUAGGGGAGCCGAAGGGAAACCGAGUCUUAACUGGGCGUUAAGUUGCAGGGUAUAGACCCGAAACCCGGUGAUCUAGCCAUGGGCAGGUUGAAGGUUGGGUAACACUAACUGGAGGACCGAACCGACUAAUGUUGAAAAAUUAGCGGAUGACUUGUGGCUGGGGGUGAAAGGCCAAUCAAACCGGGAGAUAGCUGGUUCUCCCCGAAAGCUAUUUAGGUAGCGCCUCGUGAAUUCAUCUCCGGGGGUAGAGCACUGUUUCGGCAAGGGGGUCAUCCCGACUUACCAACCCGAUGCAAACUGCGAAUACCGGAGAAUGUUAUCACGGGAGACACACGGCGGGUGCUAACGUCCGUCGUGAAGAGGGAAACAACCCAGACCGCCAGCUAAGGUCCCAAAGUCAUGGUUAAGUGGGAAACGAUGUGGGAAGGCCCAGACAGCCAGGAUGUUGGCUUAGAAGCAGCCAUCAUUUAAAGAAAGCGUAAUAGCUCACUGGUCGAGUCGGCCUGCGCGGAAGAUGUAACGGGGCUAAACCAUGCACCGAAGCUGCGGCAGCGACACUGAUGUGUUGUUGGGUAGGGGAGCGUUCUGUAAGCCUGCGAAGGUGUGCUGUGAGGCAUGCUGGAGGUAUCAGAAGUGCGAAUGCUGACAUAAGUAACGAUAAAGCGGGUGAAAAGCCCGCUCGCCGGAAGACCAAGGGUUCCUGUCCAACGUUAAUCGGGGCAGGGUGAGUCGACCCCUAAGGCGAGGCCGAAAGGCGUAGUCGAUGGGAAACAGGUUAAUAUUCCUGUACUUGGUGUUACUGCGAAGGGGGGACGGAGAAGGCUAUGUUGGCCGGGCGACGGUUGUCCCGGUUUAAACGUGUAGGCUGGUUUUCCAGGCAAAUCCGGAAAAUCAAGGCUGAGGCGUGAUGACGAGGCACUACGGUGCUGAAGCAACAAAUGCCCUGCUUCCAGGAAAAGCCUCUAAGCAUCAGGUAACAUCAAAUCGUACCCCAAACCGACACAGGUGGUCAGGUAGAGAAUACCAAGGCGCUUGAGAGAACUCGGGUGAAGGAACUAGGCAAAAUGGUGCCGUAACUUCGGGAGAAGGCACGCUGAUAUGUAGGUGAAGUCCCUCGCGGAUGGAGCUGAAAUCAGUCGAAGAUACCAGCUGGCUGCAACUGUUUAUUAAAAACACAGCACUGUGCAAACACGAAAGUGGACGUAUACGGUGUGACGCCUGCCCGGUGCCGGAAGGUUAAUUGAUGGGGUCAGCGCAAGCGAAGCUCUUGAUCGAAGCCCCGGUAAACGGCGGCCGUAACUAUAACGGUCCUAAGGUAGCGAAAUUCCUUGUCGGGUAAGUUCCGACCUGCACGAAUGGCGUAAUGAUGGCCAGGCUGUCUCCACCCGAGACUCAGUGAAAUUGAACUCGCUGUGAAGAUGCAGUGUACCCGCGGCAAGACGGAAAGACCCCGUGAACCUUUACUAUAGCUUGACACUGAACAUUGAGCCUUGAUGUGUAGGAUAGGUGGGAGGCUUUGAAGUGUGGACGCCAGUCUGCAUGGAGCCGACCUUGAAAUACCACCCUUUAAUGUUUGAUGUUCUAACGUGGACCCGUGAUCCGGGUUGCGGACAGUGUCUGGUGGGUAGUUUGACUGGGGCGGUCUCCUCCUAAAGAGUAACGGAGGAGCACGAAGGUUGGCUAAUCCUGGUCGGACAUCAGGAGGUUAGUGCAAUGGCAUAAGCCAGCUUGACUGCGAGCGUGACGGCGCGAGCAGGUGCGAAAGCAGGUCAUAGUGAUCCGGUGGUUCUGAAUGGAAGGGCCAUCGCUCAACGGAUAAAAGGUACUCCGGGGAUAACAGGCUGAUACCGCCCAAGAGUUCAUAUCGACGGCGGUGUUUGGCACCUCGAUGUCGGCUCAUCACAUCCUGGGGCUGAAGUAGGUCCCAAGGGUAUGGCUGUUCGCCAUUUAAAGUGGUACGCGAGCUGGGUUUAGAACGUCGUGAGACAGUUCGGUCCCUAUCUGCCGUGGGCGCUGGAGAACUGAGGGGGGCUGCUCCUAGUACGAGAGGACCGGAGUGGACGCAUCACUGGUGUUCGGGUUGUCAUGCCAAUGGCACUGCCCGGUAGCUAAAUGCGGAAGAGAUAAGUGCUGAAAGCAUCUAAGCACGAAACUUGCCCCGAGAUGAGUUCUCCCUGAC
rnacentral:rRNA from 1 species